CUUAUCGUAUGCGACUAUAAGGUCCAGUCAAAGAUAAUCCAUGAACUGGUCUCUGCAACUCACUUUGAGCAGCUGCUUCAGGACCCACAUGCCAAUUAUGUUGUUCAAACAGCUCUUCGAAUUUCUGAGGUGGGCAUAGCAAUUGCAAUAAGAUACUCAUUGACAAUGGGAGCAUUUUCAGUCACACCAAAUGGACCUGAAGUUUUAUUGCUUGAUUACCCCAGCCAUCAAAGACAACUACUCCCUCUUCUUGCAAAGACAUAUGCCAUGAGCUUUGCUGCUAACUUCUUGAAAAGGAUGUAUGUGAAGAAGAAACCUGAAAUGAUCAAAACCUUACAUGUUGUUUCAAGUGCCUUUAAGGCUACCUU